AGCGCAGGUGGUUGUAUAAGUCUGAAGUAAAAGGCAGUGGCUCAACCAUUGUGUGCUUUGGAAACUGUACAACUUGAGUGCAGAAGGGGAGAGUGGAAUUCCAUGUGUAGCGGUGAAAUGCGUAGAUAUAUGGAGGAACACCGGUGGCGAAAGCGGCUCUCUGGUCUGUAACUGGCACUGAGGCUGAAAGCGUGGGGAGCAAACA
rnacentral:rRNA from 1 species